CACAAUGUAAAAAAGUAUAUACAAACUUAAUUGUUUUAAGUUAUUGGAUUCUAAAUUAAUAAUUUGUAUAUAUCAAUGCAUUUCUUACUACAAAUUCAGAAUUUGAACUAAAAUUAUUGAGUUCGACUGAAUCUAUAAUCAAUACACUCGCUAGUUUGGGGUAGGGGUGGGGGUGGAGGGAGGCCAAAGAAUAGAGCCAAAAGUCAAUGAGUGGUGAGGAAUACAUUGCAUUGUGGCACCACCACCAGUGUCACUUGUCAUGAUAUAUAUAUCUCUAUAAAUAGAAAAAUCUGCCUAGCCAGAUUUACUUGUCCACCUCAAGCAGUAACAACCUUUCCUCAUCAGCACACCAUGCUUGAUUACGACGAGUUCAGAAUUUAAAUUUCUAAUCUACCAGAAAAUUAAAGCACAGAACGAUGUCAUCAACUUCACCACUUCUACUAUGGUGCUUCUUGUGUUUGUGUCUGGCUACAACGAUGACGAUGACGAUGACAUAUGCUCGUCUGCAGCCACGAAAUCUCUUGGGCAAUGGCCUUGGUAGAACUCCGCAAAUGGGUUAUGCUGAUGAAUGCCGGAGCUACCACCGUCUUCUUCCACAAUAGCCGCGAUCGGAGCAGGAAGAGAUGGAGGUGGCAGCGGCGGUUGUAUGGUUGGUUCAUGAAGUGCCAUUGAUUAUGUCAUUCCCUGGCUGAAAAAUUCCAAAAGGAAUUUAUCUUCGUGGAUUUUAGAGCAAAAGAAAGCUUCAAUCACUCGUCACCCUACAUCCUGCACCAUGGAGAAGCUUCAGCUCUUCCCUAGCUGCAAUAUUUUUGGUGAUGAUAAUACCCAACUAUUGAAUCACUUCAAUGAAUAGUGGUGGGACUGGAAGACACGUCGGUAACUGUCAUCUGGAGGAACGUCCUAACAUAGGAUCAUCCCAAGAGUUGCUGAAGAUGUCAUUUGAAUUUAACACUGUGAUCAAUGUGCUGUUGGUGAAACAAAACAAAUCAGAAGCUUGGAAUUUGAAUUUGUUGAAUGUAACAGGGAUGACAGUCCAGAGAAGAGACGGUCACUUGUCUUUGUAUUACUUAUGCCCAAGGUUGGACCAGCUCCUCUCCACCACCAAGACUGCAACCACUGGUGUCCCUGAUUGAUGGAACGCACUUCUAUGUGCCACCUUCCUCAAACGGGAGUUAGCUCAUGCAAAUUUUUCAAAACAAACUUCUUGAUCGUCCGUAUUCAUGUCUUGCAGCAUGAGAAGUGAACAAGCAUUAUCUAGUAGAUUUCACUACUAAGAAUUCAUUUUCAUGGAGAGAUAGUAUCUGACAAAUAGUAGUUUAAAGAAAUUUCAUCAUCUUUAAAAUGUGUUUCUAUUUCUGCUCAACGUUUUAUUUGGUUAACGUUAUGUCUUAAUUAUUUUGGUAGGUUGAAGUUUUUGAUUCUCAUUGAAAGAUGUAUGACACAUGAAAUACAAGUUGUUCAGUGACUAUGUCUGUAGAGUACUGCUGAUUUUGGAGCUCGAGUUACUGAUUUUGGAGACGGUUGAUGUCAGUGCCAAGGAAAACAAGUCUAUGCCUGUCAUUGCAGGGUCUUGUAGUUACAUUGCUCUAGUCUACACACACUAAUGGGAAUGACAAGAUGCCUGUGAGGUUGGUGAUGAAGGUGGAUUCAGUCUAAAUGUCCACAGUAACAGGGAAGGGCUUAGUUACACUGGCAAGAUUGAAAUUGGCAUGAAUGUAGAAACAUCUGAGUUCUUGAUCUCAGUUUCAAGAUUGAAAUUGGCAUGGUGAUGCCAAGCUAAGCAACAGAUAGCGGCAAUUGAUAAGUAGAGAGUUACGAUCUCUUGUUUGUUGCCUUUUAGGUAAUGAUUUUCCUUGUUUAUUUGUUGUAUUACUUUAUGUGAGUUGUGACAAGAAUUUUAUGAAUUCGAUACUAUUGUGGAUUGUGACAUACAC